AUGAUGAAGAGUAAAGCAGAUGCAAAUGCUGCAACUAUUGUACCAAAGAAAGUACAGAAACUAGCCGAGGACUGGAGUUGUGCACCACCAUACCAGGUUAGUGCACCAUCUGAAUCUGGUCUAAAUGAGCAUCUUGGAGGAAGAGAACAUAAGGCAAAGUUGGCACAAUGUGGCGUCAGCAAGGCGACCAAAGGUAACAAAAGCUGCUUGCAGACGACCACUGGGAAUGUGAACAACACAGAUCCUUCUGAUGCACCUAAGAAAAUAUGCAUGCUAGUAGACGGUGCAACAUGUGAAGCUGGUCUAAAUGAGGAUCUUGGAGGAAGAAAACAUGAGGCGAAGUUGGUACAAUGUGGCGUCAGCAAGGCGAUCAAAGAUGACAAAAACUGCUUGCAGAUGACCACUGGGAAUGAGAACAACACAGAUCCUUGUGAUGCACCUAAGGAAAUAUGCAUGCUAGUAGAUGGUGAAAUGCAUGAAGUUGUUCGGAAGAACAACUAUCUGUGGUGUGAUCGCUGCAGAGUCAGGUGUGAUAGUAAAGUCAUCAUGGCUGGCCAUCUGCGGAGCAAGAAGCACAGUAAGUUAAACAAGGUUUGGACAUCAAUAAAGGCCGUGAGGACAAAUACCGAUACUAAGGAAGGUUUGCCUUCUUGUGGAAGUCAGGUAAGUACAAACAGCCCUACUGAAAUUCCAGCGGUAAUUGAAGGCGACAUAAAUAUGACCACCGGAGUAGAUGAAAGCGGCCCUGUAGAAAAUGCAGUCCAGAAAGAAAUCCAUCCGCGGAGCAAGAAGCACAGUAAAUUAAAUGAGGUUUGGACAUCGAUAAAGGCUGUGAGGACAAAUACCGAUACUAAGAAACAAAUCCAUACGAGGAGCAAGAAGCAAGGUAAAUUAAACAAUGUUUGGACAUCGAUAAAGGCUGCGAGGACAAAUACCGAUACCAAGGAAGAAAUCCAUCUGCGGAGCAAGAAGCACAGUAAAUUAAACAAUGUUUGGAUAUCGAUAAAGGCUGUGAGGACAAAUACGGAGACUAAGGAAGGUUUGCCUUCUUGUGGAAGUCAGGCUCUUUCAUCAAAUCCAAAGGUUCCAAUGGUGAAGAGGAAAGGAGAUGCAAAUGCUGCAACUACUGUGCCAAAGAAAGUACAGAAACCAACCAAGGACUGGAGCUGUGCACUAUGCCUGGUUAGUCGACAAUGUGAAGCUGCUCUAAAUGCGCAUCUUGGAGGAACAAAGCAUAAGGCAAAGUUGGCACAGUGUGGCGUCAGCAAGACGAUCAAAGAUGGCAAAAACUGCUCGCAGACGACCACUGGGAAUGAGAACAGCACAGAUCCUUGUGAUGCACCUAAAAAAAUAUGCAUGCUAGUAGACAGUGCAAUGCAUGAAGUUGUUCGGAAGGACAACUACCUGUGGUGUGAUCACUGCAGAGUCAGUUGUGAUAACUACGCCACCAUGGCUUGCCAUCUGCAAUGCAAGAAGCAGAGUAAAUUAACCAAGGUUUGUUCAUCGAUAAAGGCUGUGAGGACAAAUACCAAUACUAAGGAAGGUUUACCUUCUUUUGGAAGUCAGGUAAAUACAAACGGCUCUACUGAAAUUCCAGCGGUAAUUGAAGGCGACAUAAAUAUGACCACCGCAGUAGAUGAAAGUGGGCCUGUAGAAAAUCCAGUCCAGAAAGAAAUACAAAGAAUGGCCACCAUAUGGGCAAUGUUUUCUUGCUAA
rnacentral:rRNA from 1 species